GCCUUCUUAGUUUAGUUGGUUAUAACACCCCACUAGUAACAUCAAGUCGACCCUCAACGGUCACAGUUUCUAAUGGGGAGGUCAGUCGUUCGAAUCGGCUAGAAGGCA